rnacentral:misc_RNA from 1 species
GAUGAAGAACGUAGCGAAAUGCGAUAAGUAGUGUGAAUUGCAGAAUUCAGUGAAUCAUCGAAUCUUUGAACGCACAUUGCGCCCCUUGGUAUUCCAUGGGGCAUGCCUGUUCGAGCGUCAUUGCUGCCCUUCAAGCCCGGCUUGUGUGUUGGGUCGUCGUCCCCCCCGGGGGACGGGCCCGAAAGGCAGCGGCGGCACCGCGUCCGGUCCUCGAGCGUAUGGGGCUUUGUCACCCGCUCGAUUAGGGCCGGCCGGGCGCCAGCCGGCGUCUCCAACCUUCUAUUUUACCAGGUUGACCUCGGAUCAGGUAGGGAUACCCGCUGAACUUAAGCAUAUCAAUAAGCGGAGGA